rnacentral:rRNA from 1 species
UGGGGAAUCUUGCACAAUGGGGGCAACCCUGAUGCAGCGACGCCGCGUGAGCGAUGAAGCCCUUCGGGGUGUAAAGCUCUUUCGGCAGGGAAGAUUAUGACGGUACCUGCAGAAGCAGCUGCGGCUAACUACGUGCCAGCAGCCGCGGUAAUACGUAGGCAGCAAGCGUUGUUCGGAGUUACUGGGCGUAAAGGGUGCGUAGGCGGCUCGAUAAGUAUGGUGUGAAAUCUCCCGGCUUAACUGGGAGGGUGCGCUAUAGACUGCCGGGCUAGAGUGUGGGAGAGGAAAGUGGAAUUCCUGGUGUAGCGGUGAAAUGCGUAGAUAUCAGGAGGAACACCGGUGGUGUAAACGGCUUUCUGGACCAUAACUGACGCUGAGGCACGAAAGCGUGGGUAGCAAACAGGAUUAGAUACCCUGGUAGUCCACGCCCUAAACGAUGCAUAUUUGGUGUGGGUCAUUCAGUUGAUCCGUGCCGGAGCUAACGCGUUAAAUAUGCCGCCUGGGGAGUACAGUCGCAAGGCUG